CAAAUGAACCCAGUCAAAGUGUAUGA
rnacentral:piRNA from 1 species